GUUUUACUGGCUUGUCUAGGAAACACAGGCUUAAACAGAUCCGUACUGAUUCUUUUUACUACACAGGCGUUCACUAUGAUUAACUGGAUGUUGUACUGGAUAGUCUUCGUUUUCACCAUUCCAUUCGACACUCAAGGUCAGUGCACAUCAAGGAGGUUCUCACCCUGCGAAUUUUCCUGUCAUUGCAAAGACAAUGAUCCUGCUUGUACGACCAGCCAUUUUUUGGAUAACGGAUGCAGCAAAAGUGAAUGUCAGGAAGGGUGGAGCGGAAAAUUCUGUCAGAAAAGUAAUAUUGCUUAUAAAAAAAGGGGUUCAGCCGCCAAACUUGGUGUCUUUGCUGCUCGGGCUUUUGACGGGUUUUUGGACACAGCGUAUCAAUCACCCUUCGAGGAAAAUUCUUAUCUUCAAGUGGAACUGUAUCCAGGUGACAUCUCAGCAAUGCAAAUCUACACCUCAGGUAAAAUACACACAUUACUUUCAGUGUAACAUCCCAUAGAUCAUAGCUGACCGCGUGAUCAGUAGCGUGAUAGUUAAGUGUCCGCCUGGAGAUCGAGAGAUCUGCGUCAAAACCUGGGUUUGGGCAUACCAAAGAUUUUAAAAAUGGUACUUGUUUCUGCCUUCCUUGGCACUCAAAAUUUAGAGGUUAGAGCAAAGAAACAGGAUGGAGGAACAAUGUGGCUGACCCUUCAUGACUGCUUCGGUGGCCUAAAGGUUAGUGCGUCCGCCUAGAAUACCGUCAAACCUUGGGAUCAAACCAAAGACUCGUCAUACCAAAGACUUUAAAAAUGAUAACUGUUUUAUUGUCUCGCUUGGCGCUUAGCACACAGAGGCUAGAGCAAGAAAACAGGACUGGUUGGCCCAAUGUCAGUUUAAUGUGACUGUGUGACGUGUCAUGAGUGGUUUCUUCGGCAUGAUACUUCAUUGGUGACACCACUUUGGCGGCAUGGACUCGCCUUGCCACAAGAAGACACAGUAUACGUGCACAGAUUGAAAA